rnacentral:rRNA from 1 species
GACGAACGCUGGCGGCGUGCCUAAUACAUGCAAGUAGAACGCUGAAGGAGGAGCUUGCUUCUCUGGAUGAGUUGCGAACGGGUGAGUAACGCGUAGGUAACCUGCCUGGUAGCGGGGGAUAACUAUUGGAAACGAUAGCUAAUACCGCAUAAUAGUAGAUGUCGCAUGACAUUUGCUUAAAAGGUGCAAUUGCAUCACUACCAGAUGGACCUGCGUUGUAUUAGCUAGUUGGUGAGGUAACGGCUCACCAAGGCAACGAUACAUAGCCGACCUGAGAGGGGGAUCGGCCACACUGGGACUGAGACACGGCCCAGACUCCUACGGGAGGCAGCAGGAGGGAAUCUUCGGCAAUGGACGGAAGUCUGACCGAGCAACGCCGCGUGAGUGAAGAAGGUUUUCGGAUCGUAAAGCUCUGUUGUAAGAGAAGAACGAGUGUGAGAGUGGAAAGUUCACACUGUGACGGUAUCUUACCAGAAAGGGACGGCUAACUACGUG